UACAGAGGGGGCAAGCGUUGUUCGGAAUUGCUGGGCGUAAAGGGCGCGUAGGCGGCCUGCUAAGUCGAACGUGAAAUCCCCGGGCUCAACCCGGGAACUGCGUCCGAUACUGGCAGGCUUGAAUUCGGGAGAGGGAUGCGGAAUUCCAGGUGUAGCGGUGAAAUGCGUAGAUAUCUGGAGGAACACCGGUGGCGAAGGCGGCAUCCUGGACCGAAAUUGACGCUGAGGCGCGAAAGCCAGGGGAGCAAACGGG
rnacentral:rRNA from 1 species